ACAACGUAUAUCUCUCAUAAAUCCACGCAAGACCCCCUACAGUGGAGUUGUGGCUGAGACCAAAUAUUUGCUGAAUGAGGCUGAGGUACAGAGAUGAAGAACACAAUGAAGGGAAGUGAUAUGGUUAAGAGGAGGGCCAGCCUCAUGGAGGAGGCAUUACAAAAUGCUUGUUAUAAAAAAGGGGUCACUGGGCCUGAGAGAGCUCUGGCCAGUGAAGACAAGAUGAUGUGCUAGUGCAAGUAACAUCUGGGAGAAGCUGACUCGGUUUGCCACAGCCGGAGUAUUGGUGGGAGGCUGGCCGGCUUCCCAUUAUAGAAGCUCACCUCCAGGUGGCUAGGUGUAAUCACAGCCAAUCAAGAACACCCACCCCAUUUUGGAUCUGGAGCCAGAAGCAGAACAGUGAAGAAUUUUCUUCUCUUGGCAGGUAUGGCUGUGAUUUGGGCAGUGCUUUCCAGGGGGUUGGCAGUGCAAGCUUGUGGCAUCCA
rnacentral:lncRNA from 1 species